rnacentral:rRNA from 1 species
UACGUAGGGGGCAAGCGUUGUCCGGAUUUAUUGGGCGUAAAGCGCGUGUAGGCGGCCCCUUAAGUCCUGCGUGAAAUCCUGCGGCUCAACCGCAGACGGUCGUGGGAAACUGGAGGGCUAGAGUGCGGGAGAGGAGAGUGGAAUUCCCGGUGUAGCGGUGAAAUGCGCAGAUAUCGGGAAGAACACCCGUGGCGAAGGCGGCUCUCUGGAACGCAACUGACGCUGAGACGCGAAAGCGUGGGGAGCAAACAGG